AGACAUGAUCAAGCGACGGCUUAGAAUGGGAAUCAAGGUUGCAGCUGUGGUACGUUUAGCUAGCUGUUGACCCAGUGCUAAAAAGUAACACACCAGUACAGCUCGAGGAGAGGCGAGAUCAAUCCUGUGUGAGUUUUUGCUUCGGUCGAAGUCACAGUGAAGAGUUUUUCACGGUGUGGUGGAUUCGAUUGUUUGUCCGUUGGUACCCGGCAUUAGUAAUACUGGAGAAGUAACAGUUGUCGCAGGACGUGCAGUUGUCAGAAAAAACACUGUAACUUGCAUAAUAAGCUCUCUCAUCGCUGAUCCAACUAAUUACUUGCAGCAACACGCAGAUCGGCCGAAGAAGAGGAAAAAGGAAUUCUCAUCUGCUCCAGUUCUCUGCCCGAAGAGGCAUUACCAACGCUGCGGCUACCUGGAGUUCGUCCAGUGUCCCGUUGUAGGCAGCACCAACAGCAGCAGCAACCAGUCAAGCCCAGGUGUCCACGGCGCUCCGCCGUUCCCAGGCCGGUCGCUGAUGCUCCGCUAACGUUCACGCGUAGCUUUCACCGAUCAGGCGCCGUACGAACACCGAUACGGACGGUGUCGUUACUCUCCGCUGCAAUGGAGGCUUCCUUAAUGACUACAUACUGUCAGGUCACAAGUUUCUUGGCGCCGAUUUCCCCGGUAAGACUGAGCAAUGGCUAACAUCUACUUGUGCUGCUUCUACUUGGAAAGUGAUGUAGCAAUAAAACG